rnacentral:tRNA from 1 species
GCCCUCGUAGCUUAACUGGAUAGAGCGCGGCCCUCCGAAGGCUGAGGUUGCGGGUUCGACUCCCGCCGAGAGCA